rnacentral:rRNA from 1 species
AUAUCAAUAAGCGGAGGAAAAGAAACCAACAGGGAUUGCCUCAGUAACGGCGAGUGAAGCGGCAAGAGCUCAAAUUUGAAAGCUGGCUCCUUCGGGGUCCGCAUUGUAAUUUGCAGAGGAUGCUUCGGGAGCAGCCCCCAUCUAAGUGCCCUGGAACGGGCCGUCAUAGAGGGUGAAAAUCCCGUAUGGGAUGGGGUGUCUGCGCCCAUGUGAAGCUCCUUCGACGAGUCGAGUUGUUUGGGAAUGCAGCUCUAAAUGGGUGGUAAAUUUCAUCUAAAGCUAAAUAUUGGCCGGAGACCGAUAGCGCACAAGUAGAGUGAUCGAAAGAUGAAAAGCACUUUGAAAAGAGAGUUAAAAAGCAC